CAGGGAAUCUCUGUUACUGGG
rnacentral:miRNA from 1 species